CAGAGGCCCCAAGCGUUACUGAGAAUCACUGGGUUUAAAGGGUGCGUAGGUGGCGCGUUAAGUCCGUUGUGAAAGCCCUGGGCUCAACCCAGGAACUGCUUCGGAUACUGGCGCGCUUGAGGCUAGUAGGGUCACUGGAACUGACGGUGGAGCGGUGAAAUGCGUAGAUAUCGUCAGGAACGCCAAUGGUGAAGACAGGUGACUGGGCUAGUUCUGACACUGAGGCACGAAAGCGUGGGGAGCGAACGGGAUUAGAUACCCCGGUAGUCCACGCCCUAAACGAUGCAGACUAGACUGCAGCGGGUUACACCCCGUUGCGGUCGGAGCGAAAUUGUUAAGUCUGCCACCUGGGAAGUACGGUCGCAAGGCUA
rnacentral:rRNA from 1 species